UGCAAGUCGNNCGGUANCUUUUGGUGCUUGCACCGAAAGACGAGUGGCGAACGGGUGCGUAACGCGUAUGCNAUCUACCUUUUACUAGAGUAUAGCCCAGAGAAAUUUGGAUUAAUCCUCUAUAACAUCAUUAAUUCGCAUGAAUUUAUGAUUAAAGCUUCGGCGGUUAAAGAUGAGCAUGCGUCCUAUUAGUUAGUAGGUGAGGUAACGGCUCACCUAGACUACGAUAGGUAGGGGUCCUGAGAGGGAGAUCCCCCACACUGGUACUGAGACACGGACCAGACUCCUACGGGAGGCAGCAGUGAGGAAUAUUGGACAAUGGACGAAAGUCUGAUCCAGCUAUGCCGCGUGCAGGAUGACAGCCCUACGGGUUGUAAACUGCUUUUAUACAGGAAGAAAACCUUCGACGUGUCGAAGCUUGACGGUACUGUAAGAAUAAGGAUCGGCUAACUCCGUGCCAGCAGCCGCGGUAAUACGGAGGAUCCAAGCGUUAUCCGGAAUCAUUGGGUUUAAAGGGUCCGCAGGCGGUUUUUUAAGUCAGAGGUGAAAUCCUGCAGCUCAACUGUAGAAUUGCCUUUGAUACUGAAAGACUUGAGUUAUUGUGAAGUGGUUAGAAUGUGUGGUGUAGCGGUGAAAUGCAUAGAUAUCACACAGAAUACCAAUUGCGAAGGCAGAUCACUAACAAUAUACUGACGCUCAGGGACGAAAGCGUGGGUAGCGAACAGGAUUAGAUACCCUGGUAGUCCACGCCGUAAACGAUGGAUACUAGCUGUAUGUCUACUUCAGGUAGAUGUGUGGCUAAGCGAAAGUGAUAAGUAUCCCACCUGGGGAGUACGAUC
rnacentral:rRNA from 1 species